rnacentral:siRNA from 1 species
CCACAGGUACAGCCUCCUCUGG